CUUGCAUAUUGUCUGCAUAUAAUUUUAGUUAUGUAUGAUAGGCGAGAUUGUAUGAUGAUAAAGAUGACGAGUC